rnacentral:lncRNA from 1 species
UAGCUUGCUUUUAAAAGAUAAAGGUUUCUGUGUGGAAAACAACUUUCAAAAUGAUUUUCUACAGUUUCUUUAUUCUAGUAUUUCAAAAUAAGUUUCUGAGCGAGAAACACUUUUAAAUGAUAGACGUGUAUGUAAUUCGUGAUCUUGUGAUGUGGUGAUUGUAAUUAUGGUUUGUGAUGAUUGUGGUUGUAACUUGUACAUGUGUGGCACCGUGCAAUUAUAGGGGAGACUCUAUCCGCGUGAACAGAGGGUUCCCUGUAUUUGUGGCGGGUCA